rnacentral:tRNA from 1 species
AGGUUAGUAGUUUAAUGGAAGAAUAGCGUGACACGCUGAAUGCAGGUUCGAGUCCUGCCUAGCCUC